GCCCCGGUAGUUCAGCGGGAGAACGCCGUCUCGACAAGGCGGAGGUCGCUGGUUCGACACCAGCUCGGGGCA
rnacentral:tRNA from 1 species